rnacentral:rRNA from 1 species
GAAAUCGACCAGCUCAACUGGUCGGCGUCCGGUGGAAACUACACAGCUUGGGGCCGAGAGACUCAACGGGUACGUCCGGGGUAGGAGUGAAAUCCUGUAAUCCUGGACGGACCACCAAUGGGGAAACCACGUUGAGAGACCGGACCCGACAGUGAGGGACGAAAGCUAGGGUCUCGAACCGGAUUAGAUACCCGGGUAGUCCUGGCUGUAAACAAUGCUCGCUAGGUAUGUCACGCGCCAUGAGCACGUGAUGUGCCGUAGUGAAGACGAUAAGCGAGCCGCCUGGGAAGUACGUCCGCAAGGAUGAAACUUAAAGGAAUUGGCGGGGGAGCACCACAACCGGAGGAGCCUGCGGUUUAAUUGGACUCAACGCCGGACAUCUCACCGGUCCCGACAGUAGUAAUGACAGUCAGGUUGACGACUUUACUCGACGCUACUGAGAGGAGGUGCAUGGCCGCCGUCAGCUCGUACCGUGAGGCGUCCUGUUAAGUCAGGCAACGAGCGAGACCCGCACUUCUAGUUGCCAGCAAUACCCUUGAGGUAGUUGGGUACACUAGGAGGACUGCCAUUGCUAAAAUGGAGGAAGGAACGGGCAACGGUAGGUCAGUAUGCCCCGAAUGGACCGGGCAACACGCGGGCUACAAUGGCUCUGACAGUGGGAUGCAACGCCGAGAGGCGACGCUAAUCUCCAAACGGAGUCGUAGUUCGGAUUGCGGGCUGAAACCCGCCCGCAUG